rnacentral:rRNA from 1 species
AUUGAACGCUGGCGGCAGGCCUAACACAUGCAAGUCGAGCGGAUGAAGGGAGCUUGCUCCUGGAUUCAGCGGCGGACGGGUGAGUAAUGCCUAGGAAUCUGCCUGGUAGUGGGGGAUAACGUCCGGAAACGGGCGCUAAUACCGCAUACGUCCUGAGGGAGAAAGUGGGGGAUCUUCGGACCUCACGCUAUCAGAUGAGCCUAGGUCGGAUUAGCUAGUUGGUGGGGUAAAGGCCUACCAAGGCGACGAUCCGUAACUGGUCUGAGAGGAUGAUCAGUCACACUGGAGCUGAGACACGGUCCAGACUCCUACGGGAGGCAGCAGUGGGGAAUAUUGGACACUGGGCGAAAGCCUGAUCCAGCCAUGCCGCGUGUGUGAAGAAGGUCUUCGGAUUGUAAAGCACUUUAAGUUGGGAGGAAGGGCAGUAAGUUAAUACCUUGCUGUUUUGACGUUACCAACAGAAUAAGCACCGGCUAACUUCGUG